GAUGAACGCUGGCGGCGUGCCUAAUACAUGCAAGUCGAGCGAACAGAUGAGGAGCUUGCUCCUCUGACGUUAGCGGCGGACGGGUGAGUAACACGUGGAUAACCUACCUAUAAGACUGGGAUAACUUCGGGAAACCGGAGCUAAUACCGGAUAAUAUAUUGAACCGCAUGGUUCAAUAGUGAAAGACGGUUUUGCUGUCACUUAUAGAUGGAUCCGCGCCGCAUUAGCUAGUUGGUAAGGUAACGGCUUACCAAGGCAACGAUGCGUCGCCGACCUGAGAGGGUGAUCGGCCACACUGGAACUGAGACACGGUCCAGACUCCUACGGGAGGCAGCAGUAGGGAAUCUUCCGCAAUGGGCGAAAGCCUGACGGAGCAACGCCGCGUGAGUGAUGAAGGUCUUCGGAUCGUAAAACUCUGUUAUUAGGGAAGAACAAAUGUGUAAGUAACUAUGCACGUCUUGACGGUACCUAAUCAGAAAGCCACGGCUAACUACGUG
rnacentral:rRNA from 1 species